rnacentral:rRNA from 1 species
AGAGUUUGAUCCUGGCUCAGGAUGAACGCUGGCGAGAUGCCUUAUACAUGCAAGUCGUACGAGAGUUUUUAACUCAAGUGGCGGACGGGUGAGUAACACGUAAGAAUUUGCCUUUAGGAGGGGGACAACAACUGGAAACGGUUGCUAAUACCCCAUAUGCUUUCGAGUGAAACGGAUUUUUCCGCCUAGAGAGAAGCUUGCGGCUGAUUAGCUUGUUGGUGAGGUAAUGGCUUACCAAGGCGACGAUCAGUAUCUGGUUUGAGAGGAUGAUCAGACACACUGGAACUGAGACACGGUCCAGACUCCUACGGGAGGCAGCAGUAGGGAAUUUUCCGCAAUGGGCGAAAGCCUGACGGAGCAAUCUCGCGUGAGGGAUGACGGCCUAUGGGUUGUAAACCUCUUUUUUCAGGGAGGAAUCAAUGACGUGUACCUGAAGAAUAAGCAUCGGCUAACUCCGUGCCAGCAGCCGCGGUAAGACGGAGGAUGCAAGUGUUAUCCGGAAUCACUGGGCGUAAAGCGUCUGUAGGUGGUUUAAUAAGUCAACUGUUAAAUCUUGAAGCUUAACUUCAAAAUCGCAGUCGAAACUAUUAGACUAGAGUAUAGUAGGGGUAAAGGGAAUUUCCAGUGGAGCGGUGAAAUGCGUAGAGAUUGGAAAGAACACCGAUGGCGAAGGCACUUUACUGGGCUAUUACUAACACUCAGAGACGAAAGCUAGGGUAGCAAAUGGGAUUAGAUACCCCAGUAGUCCUAGCCGUAAACAAUGGAUACUAGAUGUUGAACAGAUCGACCUGUGCAGUAUUAAAGCUAACGCGUUAAGUAUCCCGCCUGGGAAGUAUGCUCGCAAGAGUGAAACUCAAAGGAAUUGACGGGGGCCCGCACAAGCGGUGGAGCAUGUGGUUUAAUUCGAUGCAACGCGAAGAACCUUACCAGGGUUUGACAUGAUAUGAAUUUCUUUGAAAGAAGAAAGUGCCGUUUGGAACAUAUACACAGGUGGUGCAUGGCUGUCGUCACCUCCUGUCCUGAAAAAGUUGGGUUAAAUUCCCCCACCAAGGGCACCCCUUAUUUUUAGUUGCCUUAUGGAACUCUAGAAAAAUGCGCGGUUUUAAACCGGAGGAAGGCGGGGGGUAAAGUCAAGCAACACAGGCCCCUUAACACCCGGGGGAACAACAGGCUCCAAUGGGUGGAUCUAUAUUUAUUUU